AGCUCCACUAGUGUAAAUCGUCAUUGCUGCGGUUAAAAAGCUCGUAGUUGGAUCUGAGUUGCAUGCGUUGGUUCCUCUCUGAGGUUAAUCUUCGCUGCAACUAUUUUGCUGGUUUUCUGCAGAUAGCUUCGGCUUCUGUAGUGGCUAGCGAGAUUACUUUGAAUAAAACAGAGUGUUCAAAACAAGCGAUUGCUUGAAUGCUCGAUCAUGGAAUAAUGGAAUAGGACCUCGGUUCUAUUUAUUGGUUCAAGAAUUGAGGUAAUGAUUAAGAGAGACAAUUCGGGGG
rnacentral:rRNA from 1 species